AUGCUCAAAAUUCUCCAAGCCAGGCUUCAGCAAUACGUGAACCAUGAACUCCCUAAUGUUCAAGCUGGUUUUAGAAAAGGCAGAGGAACCAGAUAUCAAAUUGCCAACAUCCACUGGAUCAUGGAAAAAGCAAGAGAGUUCCAGAAAAACACCUAUUUCUGCUUCAUUGACUAUGCCAAAGCCUUUGACUGUGUGGAUCACAAUAAACUGUGGAAAAUUCUGAAAGAGAUGGGAAAACCAGACCACCUGACCUGCCUCUUGAGAAAUCUGUAUGCAGGUCAGGAAGCAGCAGUUAGAACUGGACAUGGAACAACAGACUGGUUCCAAAUAGGAAAAGGAGUACGUCAAGGCUGUAUAUUGUCACCCUGCUUAUUUAACUUCUAUGCAGAGUACAUCAUGAGAAACACUGGACUUGAAGAAACACAAGCUGGAAUCAAGAUUGCCGGGAGAAAUAUCAAUCACCUCAGAUAUGCAGAUGACACCACCCUUAUGGCAGAAAGUGAAGAGGAACUAAAGAGCCUCUUGAUGAAAGUGAAAGUGGAGAGUGAAAAAGUUGGCUUAAAGCUCAACAUUCAGAAAACGAAGAUCAUGGCAUCCAGUCCCAUCACUUCAUGGGAAAUAGAUGGGGAAACAGCGGAAACAGUGUCAGACUUUAUUUUGGGGGGCUCCAAAAUCACUGCAGAUGGUGACUGCAGCCAUGAAAUUAAAAGACACUUACUCCUUGGAAGAGAAGUUAUGACCAACCUAGAUAGUAUAUUCAAAAGCAGAGACAUUAGUUUGCUGACUAAGGUCUGCCUAGUCCAGGCUAUGGUUUUUCCUGUGGUCAUGUAUGGAUGUGACAGUUGGACUGUGAAGAAGGCUGAGCACCGAAGAAUUGAUGCGUUUGAACUGUGGUGUUGGAGAAGACUCUUGAGAGUCCCUUGGACUGCAAGGAGAUCCAACCAGUCCAUUCUGAAGGAGAUCAGUCCUGGGUGUUCAUUGGAAGGACUGAUGCUAAAGCUGAAACUCCAGUACUUUGGCCACCUCAUGAGAAGACUUGCCUCAUUGGAAAAGACCCUGAUGCUGGGAGGGAUUGGGGGCAGGAGGAGAAGGGGACGACAGAGGAUGAGAUGGCUGGAUGGCAUCACGGACUCAAUGGAUGUGAGUCUGAGUGAACUCCAGGAGUUGGUGAUGGACAGGGAGGCCUGA
rnacentral:lncRNA from 1 species